rnacentral:misc_RNA from 1 species
UACGAAUCAACAACUUGGGGAUUUCCAUCAGAUAUGAAAACUUCUCGUGCUUCUGUGGUCAUUGCGACGAUCAAUCCAGCUAAGCCAUAGCCAGAUCCAAGCUCAAUGACUCUUUUUCCCCUGAAAAUGUUUGCACGUGACAAGCAGUAGUGGGCAAGGACAUCCUCUGACGGCCAUUGACAAACAAGUCCAGUGUUGUCAAUGUCAUAUCUAUUGCAGACCUCAAAGUCAUUAAGAUGUGCCAUAUCAUCCGCUCUCUGAUGAAGAAUAAGUGGGGAAGCAUUAGUAACUGGCAAUGUAUAGCAUAAGGUAGCAUUCCG